rnacentral:rRNA from 1 species
CCUACGGGUGGCAGCAGUAGGGAAUAUUGCUCAAUGGGGGAAACCCUGAAGCAGCAACGCCGCGUGGAGGAUGAAGGUUUUCGGAUUGUAAACUCCUUUUAUCAGGGACGAUAAUGACGGUACCUGAAGAAAAAGCUCCGGCUAACUACGUGCCAGCAGCCGCGGUAAUACGUAGGGAGCGAGCGUUGUCCGGAAUUACUGGGUGUAAAGGGAGCGUAGGCGGGACGGCAAGUCAGAUGUGAAAACUGAGGGCUCAACUUUCAGACUGCAUUUGAAACUGCUGUUCUUGAGUGAAGUAGAGGUAAGCGGAAUUCCUAGUGUAGCGGUGAAAUGCGUAGAUAUUAGGAGGAACAUCGGUGGCGAAGGCGGCUCACUGGACUGCAACUGACACUGAGGCUCGAAAGUGUGGGUAUCAAACAGGAUUAGAUACCCCAGUAGUC